GCUAAAAACUUAGCCCCCCCCCCCUUUUUUUAAUAAAACACCAACACCUCUCUACUAAAACUAAAACAUUUUAUUAACCCAGUAAAGGCGAUUAAAAAGUUUAUAGGAGCUAUAAAAAUAGUACCGCAAGGGAAAAGUGAAAUAAAAAUGAAAUAAAUUUUAAGCACAAUAAAGCAAAGAUUAAAUCUUGUACCUUUUGCAUCAUGGUUUAACCAGUCAAAUCAAGCAAAAUGAACUACAGUUUGAACCCCCGAAACUAAGCGAGCUACUUCAGGGCAGCUUCCCGAGCAAACCCGUCUCUGUUGCAAAAGAGUGGGACGACCCUUAAGUAGCGGUGAUAGACCUAACGAGCUUAGUGAUAGCUGGUUACUCAAGAAAAGGAUUUUAGUCCCGCCUAAAGCUACUUUAAUUUUACAAAAUAAGCCCCUAACUUUAGAGUAAUUCAAAUAAGGUACAGCCUAUUUGAACAAGGGUACAACCUAAACUAAUGGGUAAAUUUUAUCUAACAACAAAGUGGGCCUAAAAGCAGCCACCUUUAAGACAGCGUCAUAGCUUACUUGUUAUAACAUUUUUCAAUACCCCAAUUUUCCCAGACCCCUUUAUUUUUAUUGAGUAGUUCUAUAAUAAUAUAGAAAUUAUACUGUUAAAACUAGUAACAAGAAGAAGCCCUUCUCUUAAAUGCGAGUGUAUAUCAGAAAGGACAAACCACUGAUAAUUAAUGCCCAUAAAAUAAUAGUAAUAACAUAACAAGAAAACCUUACUCUAUUCAGCAUUAACCUAACACAAGAGCAUUACAAGAAAGAUUAAAAAAAGAGGAAGGAACUCGGCAAAUAUUAACCCCGCCUGUUUACCAAAAACAUCGCCUCUUGAAUAUUAUAAGAGGUCCCGCCUGCCCAGUGACUCUGUUCAACGGCCGCGGUAUCCUAACCGUGCGAAGGUAGCGUAAUCACUUGUUCUUUAAAUAGGGACUAGUAUGAAUGGCACCACGAGGGUUAUACUGUCUCCCCCUUUUAAUCAGUGAAACUAAUCUCCCCGUGAAGAAGCGUGGAUGAUACUAUAAGACGAGAAGACCCUAUGGAGCUUUAAACUAGUUUCCCAACAACCUCACCUCCUUUUUAAGCUUAUGCUUUUAAUAAUCAGUCCGGUUCUAUGGGAACAAGUUUUAGGUUGGGGUGACCACGGAGUAAAAAACAACCUCCGAGCUGUAAGGGACUACCCCCUGAACAACAAACUACAACUUUAUGUACCAAUAUAUUGACACCUAUUGACCCAAUAUUUUGAUCAACGAACCAAGUUACCCUAGGGAUAACAGCGCAAUCCGCUUCAAGAGCUCCUAUCGACAAGCGGGUUUACGACCUCGAUGUUGGAUCAGGGUGUCCCAGUGGUGCAGCCGCUACUAAAGGUUCGUUUGUUCAACGAUUAAAACCCUACGUGAUCUG
rnacentral:rRNA from 1 species